GGACUUAUAGCUCAGUUGGUUAGAGCUCUCGCUUGAUAAGCGUGAUGUCAGUAGUUCAAGUCUACUUAAGUCCA
rnacentral:tRNA from 1 species